AUUGAACGCUGGCGGCAUGCUUAACACAUGCACGUCGAACGAGUGGCGGACGGUAGAGCAAUGACUGGACAACUGACCGAUGUCGGGGGAUACCUACUGGAAACGGUAACUAAUACUGCCUACCAUCGUAUGGGCUCAGAUGGGAUUAGCUAGUGGGUGGGGUAACAGCUCACCUUGGAGACGAUCCCUAGCUGGUCUGAGAGGAUAACAAGCCACACUGGAACUGAGACACGGUCCAGACGCCUACGAGAGGCAGCAGUGGGGAAGAUUGCACAAUGGGCGCAAGCCUGAUGCAGCCAUGACGCUUGUAUGAAGAAUUCCUUCGGGUGGUAAAGUACUAUCAGCAAGAAGGCGUUACUCACAGAUGAAGCACCGGCUAACUCCGUGCCAGCCGCCGCGGUAAUUC
rnacentral:rRNA from 1 species